rnacentral:rRNA from 1 species
ACGUAGGGUGCGAGCGUUGUCCGGAAUUAUUGGGCGUAAAGAGCUCGUAGGCGGCUUGUCGCGUCGGAUGUGAAAGCCCGGGGCUUAACUCCGGGUCUGCAUUCGAUACGGGCAGGCUAGAGUUCGGUAGGGGAGAUCGGAAUUCCUGGUGUAGCGGUGAAAUGCGCAGAUAUCAGGAGGAACACCGGUGGCGAAGGCGGAUCUCUGGGCCGAUACUGACGCUGAGGAGCGAAAGCGUGGGGAGCGAACAGGA